UACGUAGGGUGCGAGCGUUGUCCGGAAUUAUUGGGCGUAAAGAGCUCGUAGGCGGUGUGUCACGUCGGCCGUGAAAACCUGCAGCUUAACUGUGGGCGUGCGGUCGAUACGGGCAUCACUGGAGUUCGGCAGGGGAGACUGGAAUUCCUGGUGUAGCGGUGAAAUGCGCAGAUAUCAGGGGGAACACCGGUGGCGAAGGCGGGUCUCUGGGCCGAUACUGACGCUGAGGAGCGAAAGCUAGGGGAGCGAAAGGG
rnacentral:rRNA from 1 species